CACCACCUCAGCUGCUAUAUCAUGGUGUCCUUUUUCAUUCUGUGACAGAGAGUGAAAAAAGAUGAGUCUAUAUUCCAUACAGCUGUACCCCCCUCAAUCUUAAAAUAAGUUCAAUUUAUUCCUACGAAACGAAAGAAAGGAAGCUUAUGUAGACACAGAAAAGGCAGGGAGUACCUCAACUGAAAGACACAAAAGUGAAUUAGAAAAUUAGGUUAUACAGGAACUUUGAAAGAGUGAAUUAUUUUUCACAGUGGGUAAAUGCGGUAGUGUUCGUAAUUACUGAAGCCAGACACUAUUGAACCGGAAAUGAAUUAACCUAUGUGAAGCACCUGGAGUCGAAAAAUAUUUGCAAGAAUACUAAUGAAUAUCGAGGAAGCAUGGCGAAGUGGCUAGGAGUGCGACCUCUGGAGGCAGGUGCCAGGGAUUCAAGCCAGGGCACUUGCUGGCAGUGUGUAACUUUGGAUGACAAGGCUUUGGUAGUAAGUAAUUCUGCACUCAUAAAACAAGUCGAAAACUUCCCCUCCUCUGGUAUUAACAUGUAUUAAUUUGAGAAGAUACUCUACUUACAUAUAAGAUCCAGAGUUUGGAAAUCUCUUGACCAAGGCUGCAGAGUCAGAAAAUGAUAGAGAGGAGAAUCUAAAUCAAAGAGUCCUUGAAUCACCAGUCUGCCCUUCGCAUUCAUUUGUAGGAUUAGAACCUACAAAUAUAAAACAGGACUUUUUUUUAAUGUAGCUUCAGUUAUAAGAAUAGGAGUGGUACUGCCUUCAUUCUAAUGAUUCUCUAAUAAGAACUGCAUGCAUCAAAUACAUUUUAGAACAUCAGGACUCAUUUUCAAAAGAAAUGUUGUGCAGAUAACAGCAGGGGAAGCAGCAGAGAGGGCUGGAGUCUCCCCCACACCAGCCCUCUUUGUAUCCUAAGGGAAUCAAUUUAAUGUUAAUUUAAGCUUUUCUCUACCCUCCACUACUCUUUAUUUCAUUUAUAAAUUAUUGUGUAGCGGCCAGGUGCGUUGGCUCAUGCCUGUAAUCCCA
rnacentral:lncRNA from 1 species